UUUCGACAUUGGAGUGCUUCAUUACC
rnacentral:piRNA from 1 species